GUACGGGAGGCAGCAGUAAGGAAUAUUGGGCAAUGGACGCAAGUCUGACCCAGCCAUGCCGCGUGAAGGAUGAAUGUCCUAUGGAUUGUAAACUUCUUUUAUGCAGGAAAAACAUCCCGGUCGUGAACCGGGACUGAUGGUACUGUAUGAAUAAGCAUCGGCUAACUCCGUGCCAGCAGCCGCGGUAAUACGGAGGAUGCAAGCGUUAUCCGGAUUCAUUGGGUUUAAAGGGUGCGCAGGCGGAAUGAUAAGUCAGUGGUGAAAUCUCCCGGCUCAACCGGGAAACUGCCAUUGAUACUGUUAUUCUUGAGUACAGUUGAAGUGGGCGGAAUGUGUCAUGUAGCGGUGAAAUGCUUAGAUAUGACACAGAACACCGAUAGCGAAGGCAGCUCACUAAGCUGUAACUGACGCUCAUGCACGAAAGCGUGGGGAUCAAACAGGAUUAGAUACCCUGGUAGC
rnacentral:rRNA from 1 species